AUGUGCCCAAACAGAAAAGAGUGAAAAGUCCUAGAAUGAACAAAUCAUCAGGGCAUCAUUUCUGGAAUUUGGGCAGAAAAUGACUGAAUAUGAAAGACUGCAGUAGAAGGAAAGCUGGUACUGAAAACAUUUGUCUUCACUCACAUGGUCCAGACUAAAGAGAAGAGGGUCUGAGGCCAGAGAUGGAGGAGUCAAUGGUCACCAAAUGCAGCGCUGCAGCCUGAAACUGUGAAGACUGGAUUCCCUAACAGCUCUGUGACAGCACAGAUGUUACGGCCAUAAAAGAAACUUCACAAUUGAAAGCCCAUACC